rnacentral:misc_RNA from 1 species
GUGAGUCAUCGAAUCUUUGAACGCACAUUGCGCCCUUUGGUAUUCCGAAGGGUAUGCCUGUUUGAGUGUCAUUAAAUUCUCAAACCAAUGGAUGAGUUUAUUCUAAUCCAUUUGGUUUGGAUCUGAGGGCUUUGUCGGACUCUAACGAGGUCGACUCCCUUUAAAAGCAUUAGCGGAUUUGACCAUCGCGGAUACGCCUCGAUUUGAUAAUAUCUAUGUCGUCGCGCUGAAGCGGUAAUCUGCUCCUAAUCGUCUUCGGACAAUUACUUUGACAAUUUGACCUCAAAUCAGGUAGGACUA